rnacentral:rRNA from 1 species
UACAGAGGGUGCAAGCGUUGUUCGGAAUUACUGGGCGUAAAGCGCAUGUAGGCGGUCUAAUAAGUCGGUCGUGAAAGCCCUUGGCUUAACCAAGGAACUGCGAUCGAAACUAUUAGACUAGAGUAUCGGAGGGGAUGGUGGAAUUCCCGGUGUAGAGGUGAAAUUCGUAGAUAUCGGGAGGAACACCUGUGGCGAAGGCGACCAUCUGGAAGAUUACUGACGCUGAGACGCGAAAGCGUGGGGAGCAAACAGG